GUAAAAAAUCAGAAUCACCCAAUUCCGUGUCUCCCCCCAUCUACCAAUGGGUCUUUUCUCUUUCUACCUUCCUCUGUUAAUACAAACAUUUCCAGUCACUUAGAUUUUUGAAGUUUUGAUCUCCAUCAUUUUGGAUUCCUCCAGGAUCACAGCUCAGUAUCCAGUUAGGCACUAAGGUUGCUCAGUGGUAAAGAAUCUGUCCGCCAAUGCAGGAGACCCAAGAAAAGCAGGUUGGAUCCCUGUGUUGGGAAGAUCCCAUGGAGUAGGAAAUGGCAACUCACUCCAGGAUUCUUGGCUGGAAAAUCCCAUGGACAGUGGAGUCUGGCGGGCUCACUGAGUCAGACAGGACUGAGCAUGGGCACGAAUUUCCUCCUUAAAGGUCCCACCUCCAAAUAUCACCACUCCAUCACAUUGGGCUCCAACUAACGAAUUUGGGGUAUUGGACGGGAAGGACACAUUCAGUUCAUGGUACCUUUUUUCAUUUUUCUAAAGUGUCUAUAAGUAUGUUGGAGUGUCACAGUUAUUUUACCAGAUCUCAUCUUCUAUAGUUUUGGGAGAAUUUACUAUGAAGGAAGACCACGUAGGCAGAGUUGAAGCUUAAGGCAGGAACCUCCCGCUGGUCAGCCACAAGGUCCAGUGGGGGAGGGGAGGGAAGGCAGGACAGUCACGACAAAAAACACUGCCUAAUGUUCUGUCAUUUUAAGCUCUGACUGUUCAGCAUGAGGUUUCACAAAGCCCUCAGCCCUUCUCCCCAAGUGUUACACACACUCCAGUGGUGUUUAUUUAAAUUAUCUUAAGGUGAAUUUAAAUUGUUUUUACUUUGAGAGUGAAUUCUACAGACACUUGAAAGAAUUAAGGACAUUCUUAGCAGCAAAAUUAAACAAAA
ensembl:lncRNA